UGGUCGCAGGUUCGAAUCCUGCACGACCCACCAGUUUUAGCAUCGAAGACAGAUGUUAAGCGUGUAGGAUAACGUUGCGUCAGCAACGGCCCGUAGGGCGAGCGAAGCGAGUCAUCCUGCACGACCCACCA
rnacentral:sRNA from 1 species